UACGAAGGGGCUAGCGUUGCUCGGAAUCACUGGGCGUAAAGCGCACGUAGGCGGAUUGUUAAGUCGGGGGUGAAAUCCUGGAGCUCAACUCCAGAACUGCCUUCGAUACUGGCGAUCUUGAGUCCGGGAGAGGUGAGUGGAACUCCGAGUGUAGAGGUGAAAUUCGUAGAUAUCGGAAGAACACCAGUGGCGAAGGCGGCUCACUGGCCCGGUACUGACGCUGAGGUGCGAAAGCGUGGGGAGCAAACAGG
rnacentral:rRNA from 1 species